ACUGUUGUUGGAGGCUGACUGAAGGAUUGUCAUCACAGACUGCAGUGAAAGACAUUUACCAUGAUCACUACAACCAGCCUACUUUUGAUUACUGUGUUCUUUACAAGUAUUGAAUGUCAGACACUGACUGAGUCUGAACCAGCAGUUAAAAAGCCUGGAGAAUCCCACACACUGACCUGUACAGCCUCUGGGUUCAUAUUCAACGACUCCUAUAUGAGCUGGAUCAGACAGGCUCCUGGGAAGGGACUGGAGUGGGUGGCCUGCAUCAGUAGUGGUGGUAGAACAUAUUAUGGCAGUACUCAAAAGGGAUUCACCAUCUCCAGAGACAACAGCAAGAACCAGCUGUAUUUACAGAUUAACAACUUAACAGCUGAAGACACUGCUGUGUAUUACUAUCACUGUGUGGGGUAUGGGUGGAGCUUUGACUACAGGGGUAAAGGCACUCAAGUCACUGUUACCAAAGACACACCGAGUGCACCAACCUCCCUCUUCCCUCUAAUGACAUGUGAGCAGCAAGGCCCCACCCUGACCCUGGCCUGCAUUGCCGGUGGAUUUCUGCCUUCUUCCUCUGUGACCUUCCAGUGGAAGGACACCAGUGGAAUGGCCGUGUCUGACUUCACUCAGUACCCAGCAGUGCAUAACAGCGGAUCUGGAUCCUACACAAGCGUCAGUCAUCUCAGUGUAAAUGCGGCAGAUUGGGAUGCUCGGAAGUCCUACAGUUGUUCCGUGAACCAUUCGUCACUGCCCGGGGAAAAGGACGCCAGUUUCCUGAAACCAGACCAGUCCUCAGACACACCCUGUCUGGAGGUGACCCUGAAUCCCCCAAAGGCGAGAGAAUUGUUUGUAAAUAACCAGGUUGUGCUGGACUGCGUUAUCACUGGGGGAGAGAGGGCAGCAGUGGAGGGAGCCAGCGUUACCUGGACACCGAGUGGAACAGGCACCUCGAGCAAAGAGAGUCAGAUCACUCAGCACGGACAUGUGUUCAGGAAGACCAGCACUCUGACUCUGGGACAGGAACGCUGGUUCACCGAGCAAAAUGUUCAGUGCUCUGUCCAACAGCAGAACAGCAAAAAGCCGGCCAUCAAAAAAUCUUUCAGCCUGAACACCAACGCGUCAAAAGUUCCCGAGGUGGUUUUAAUCACACCCAUAAAACAGGACAGCGAGUUUGUCACCCUGGUCUGUGUAGUGACAGGCUUCUCUCCCUGGGAUGUGUUCGUCAUGUGGACAGUGGAUAAUGGAUCCUAUGAAGAGGGCGUCACCAGUGAGCCUGUGGACCGCGACAAUGGCAUCUUCUCUGUCACAAGUUUGUUCAAAGUCUCGACAGCGGAUUGGAAGUCCCAGUCCAAAGUCACCUGCAAUGUGAAGCACAUUUCUAUGCCCGAUGGAGCAGCCCCUCUCACAAAAUCUGUGUCCAUAGCAACUGAAACAGUAUCAGCACUGAAUUGCAAUGAGGAAGGUGAGGAAGAAGAUGAGCUUGGCAGUCUGUGGUCCACCACCUCCUCCUUCAUCACUCUCUUCCUCUGCACUGUCAUCUACAGCACCCUCCUCACUUUGAUCAAGAUGAAGAAGUGAUGUGCUGUACAGUGCAACACAUGGAAGAUGGGGUGAAAGCUUAUUUUUUGAAUGUAUUAAUAGUUACAUGUCAAAAGUGUGUUGUAUAGAAUAUUGUGUCAUGUUUUCUUGAGCUGAAUCUCUCUGUUUUUUCCAUUACUCCACAGUGUCUAUGUUUAGAUUUCUUUCAUUACCUAAUUAGUGAAAUGUCUAUAAAUCCUGUUUAUACCAGUGUUUUCUGUGGACAUCAGACCCACAGUGCAGCACAUAAUUGGCUGCAGUUUAGUCCUAGGAGGAAAGGUUUUAGUUGGCAGUCCUGUACUCAACCCACUAAGCAAAAAAAAAGCACAGCUCUGAUGGAUCCCGCCUGCAAAUUUCUCCGCUACACCCAUGACUGGAACUCCAGCGCUGCUACCGUUGGAGCCGCCCUGUGUCCGCUGCACAUGAAGUGCACUCUUCUGUCCCACUGAGAGCUGAGCCGCUCUGGGGCCACAGAGUGAAAGAGGUCAGCAGAGCCGCUCUGGGGCCACAGAGUGAAAGAGCUCAGCAGAGCCGCUCUGGGGCCACAGAGUGAAAGAGGUCAGCAGAGCCGCUCUGGGGCCACAGAGUGAAAGAGGUCAGCAGAUGGGAGCGCACAGUUUGGAGGAGAGUGUGUGCUGGCUUGUGUGCGCAUCCUCCAAUUCACAAUGCAGUAGCGUAUCAUAAUAAAUCAUUACAGUGUUAUUGGUUUUGAUAUUUUACCUCUUACAAUAAAUAAGCCAGUAACUAUCCAUUUGAAAUAGCAUAUAUUUAACAUUUUAUCACCCAAGAAGUUAGUGAAUAUUUUCAUAAGCUCUAAAAGAUUAAAGAGAAGCGUUGGUCCUUAAAAAUCUCUCAGUGUCUGAAAUGCUGUUUCUGACAUGUAGAGCUGGCCGGAGUGCAGUGUACAGGGCUGCAGAGGGAGGUGUGCUCUGUAUAUUUAACCAGACUGAGAGUGAAAGCUGCAUAUCAGAGUUUAGCAGAGCUAAGGCUUCACAGUCAAACCUGAACACUCUCAUCAUAUUGCGUGUCACUCUCAGCUAACAUGUAGUAUUUGUGUAAAAUGCAUGAAAUGUAAUGAAUA